rnacentral:rRNA from 1 species
GACGAACGCUGGCGGCGCGCUUAACACAUGCAAGUCGAGCGAGAACCAGAGCUUCGGUUCUGGGGACAGCGGCGAACGGGUGAGUAACACGUGGGUAAUCUGCCCUCGGCACCGGAAUAGCCCGGGGAAACCCGGAUUAAUGCCGGAUGGCCCACCCGCCUUUCGAGGCGGUUGGAAAAGGUAGCUUCGGCCUCCGGCCGAGGAUGAGCCCGCGGCGGAUUAGCUUGUUGGCGGGGUAACGGCCCACCAAGGCGACGAUCCGUAGCUGGUCUGAGAGGACGAUCAGCCACACUGGGACUGAGACACGGCCCAGACUCCUACGGGAGGCAGCAGUGGGGAAUCUUGCGCAAUGGGCGAAAGCCUGACGCAGCGACGCCGCGUGCGGGAAGAAGGCCUUCGGGUUGUAAACCGCUUUCAGGAGGGACGAAGCCACUCGGGUGAACAGCCCAGAGGGUGACGGUACCUCCAGAAGAAGCCCGGCUAACUACGUGCCAGCCGCCGCAGUAAAAC